rnacentral:tRNA from 1 species
GGAGGGUUCGCAUAAUGGUAUUGCAGCGGUCUUGAAAACCGCCGUCCGCAAGGACAUGAGAGUUCGACUCUCUCACCCUCCG